rfam:Rattus norvegicus chromosome 19, whole genome shotgun sequence.
GGGGAUUUAGCUCAGCGGUAGAGUGCUUGCCUAGCGAGCGCAAGGCCCUGGGUUCGAUCCCCAGCUCCG